rnacentral:RNase_P_RNA from 1 species
UUUUAAUGAGGAAAGUCCGUGCUCCAUAGAGCAGAAUGCUGGAUAACAUCCAGUGGAGGCGACUCUAAGGCUAGUGCAACAGAAAGAAACCGCCAUUUAUGGUAAGGGUGGAAAGGCGAGGUAAGAGCUCACCAGUGCUUAGGAGACUAAGUAGCUAUGUAAACCCCAUUCGGAGCAAGACCAAAGUGAGGAAAAGGGAUGCUGCUCGUGUCCUCUCAAGAAGGUAGGUCGCUAGAUAUUCUUGGCAACAGGAAUACAAGACAGAUGACUGUUUAAUACAGAACACGGCUUAUAGAUUUACU